rfam:Triticum aestivum genome assembly, contig: Triticum_aestivum_CS42_TGACv1_scaffold_094490_2AL
CUGCUACUCCCUCCGUUCAGAAUUACUUGUCUCAAAAAUGGAUAUAUCUAGACGUAUUUUAAUUCUAGAUAUAUCCAUAUCCGAGACAAGUAAUUCCGAACGGAGGAUUACUUC